rnacentral:rRNA from 1 species
AUUGAACGCUGGCGGCAUGCCUUACACAUGCAAGUCGAACGGCAGCACGGGUGCUUGCACCUGGUGGCGAGUGGCGAACGGGUGAGUAAUAUAUCGGAACGUACCUUAUUGUGGGGGAUAACGCAGCGAAAGCUGUGCUAAUACCGCAUAAUCCCUAAGGGGGAAAUCGGGGGACCGUAAGGCCUCGCGCAAUUAGAGCGGCCGAUACCUGGUUAGCUAGUUGGUGAGGUAAAGGCUCACCAAGGCAACGAUCAGUAGCUGGUCUGAGAGGACGAUCAGCCACACUGGGACUGAGACACGGCCCAGACUCCUACGGGAGGCAGCAGUGGGGAAUUUUGGACAAUGGGGGCAACCCUGAUCCAGCAAUGCCGCGUGAGUGAAGAAGGCCUUCGGGUUGUAAAGCUCUUUUGUCAGGGAAGAAACAGCAGCUCUAACACAGUUUGCGAAUGACGGUACCUGAAGAAUAAGCACCGGCUAACUACGUGCCAGCAGCCGCCGCAG